CUGUUCUGAGCAUGUUUAGGAUGAUGGAGAAAAUGAUCUUCUGAGAUCCCUUCUACUGUUAAACUUCUAUGAUUUGAAGACUGAGGAUUGAAUAUUGGUUUAUUAAGCACUGGGUCCUAUUGGGACAGCUCAGUCAUUCCUUGAUUUGUUUAAAUUAAGUUUAGGAUAUGGAAAGAUGCUGGAAAGAAUAUGUGAAAAAGGAGGAUAAGAACAAAAGUGAGAAGAGGGGUCUGACCACUGAAAAUCUUUGAUGCCAUACAAAAUGAAUCUCUGUAUUCCAGCUUUCUGAAAAUCUUUAAGUAGAAACAGAGAUCCUGGACAUCCUUUUUAGUAUGUAUACAUAAAAUAUAAACAAAUACAAAUAAAUAUAUCUGUUCGUAUAUAAACAAGAUAUCCACCUUCCGCUCACUAGGUAUUCACAGACUAAUAUUCACAGACAUAUGCAUUAUGGUCUUGCUUUCCUAAUAAGAGAUGCUGACCCAAGUGCCAGU